rnacentral:rRNA from 1 species
CCUACGGGAGGCAGCAGUAGGGAAUAUUGCUCAAUGGGGGAAACCCUGAAGCAGCAACGCCGCGUGGAGGAUGAAGGUUUUCGGAUUGUAAACUCCUUUUGUUAGAGAAGAUAAUGACGGUAUGUAACGAAUAAGCACCGGCUAACUCCGUGUCAACAGCCGCGGUAAUACGGAGGGUGCAAGCGUUACUCGGAAUCACUGGGCGUAAAGCGGGCGUAGGCGGGAUAGCAAGUCAGAUGUGAAAUCCUAUGGCUUAACCAUAGAACUGCAGUUGAAACUGUUAUUCUAGAGUAUGGGAGAGGUAGGUGGAAUUCUUGGUGUAGGGGUAAAAUCCGUAGAGAUCAAGAGGAAUACUCAUUGCGAAGGCGACCUGCUAGAACAUAACUGACGCUGAUGCGCGAAAGCGUGGGGAGCAAACAGGAUUAGAUACCCCUGUAGUC